GUAGGGUGCGAGCGUUAAUCGGGAAUUACUGGGGCGUAAAGCGUGCGCAGGCGGUUAUGUAAGGCAGAUGUGAAAUCCCCCGGGGCUCAACCUGGGAACUGCAUUUGUGACUGCAUGGCUAGAGUACGGUAGAGGGGGAUGGAAUUCCGCGUGUAGCAGUGAAAUGCGUAGAUAUGCGGAGGAACACCGAUGGCGAAGGCAAUCCCCUGGACCUGUACUGACGCUCAUGCACGAAAGCGUGGGGAGCAAACAGGAUUAGAUACCCUGGUAGUCCACGCCCUAAACGAUGUCAACUGGUUGUUGGGAAUUAGUUUUCUCAGUAACGAAGCUAACGCGUGAAGUUGACCGCCUGGGGAGUACGGCCGCAAGGUUG
rnacentral:rRNA from 1 species